AACUUACUUUCACCCGUCCCAACCCAACGGCUAAAAAGUUAUACUGGGGCGGUAACCUUUACCCGAAACAAAGAGAAACCCAACAUCUUAAAUGAUAGUAACAAACACCUUAUUAGUAAGAAAGAACAAGUUACUUUAGGGAUAACAGCGCAAUAUCUUUUCAGAGCCCUUAUCGACAAAGAUGUUUACGACCUCGAUGUUGAAUUGAAGAACCUUUUUGGAGCAGCCUCUGAAAAAGGAAGUCUGUUCGACUUUUAAUACUUCACAUGAUCUGAGUUCA
rnacentral:rRNA from 1 species